GCUCCAAUAGCGUAUAUUAAAGUUGUUGCAGUUAAAAAGCUCGUAGUUGAAUUUCUAAUUAGUUAAUUUGGGGUCUUCCUCAUUUUAGCUAGUUAUCCGACACUGAACCAUGACGGUUAUUAAGUUAACCCCAUGGAGAAUUGUCAUUUUUACUUUGAAAAAAUUAGAGUGUUUCAGGCAGCAAUUGCCGAAUAUCUUAG
rnacentral:rRNA from 1 species